rnacentral:rRNA from 1 species
CACCGCGGUUAUACGAGAGACCCUAGUUGAUAAUUACGGCGUAAAGAGUGGUUAAGGAACUACACAAUUAAAGCCAAACACUUCCCCGGCUGUUAUACGCUCCCGGAAAUAACGAAACCCAAACGCGAAAGCAGCUUUAUAUUAUAAGCCUGACCCCACGAAAGCUAAGAUA